rnacentral:rRNA from 1 species
CCUACGGGAGGCAGCAGUGAGGAAUAUUGGUCAAUGGGCGCGAGCCUGAACCAGCCACGUAGCGUGAAGGAUGACUGCCCUACGGGUUGUAAACUUCUUUUAUAAAGGAAUAAAGUGAGGCACGUGUGCCUUUUUGUAUGUACUUUAUGAAUAAGGAUCGGCUAACUCCGAGCCAGCAGCCGCGGUAAUACGGAGGAUCCGAGCGUUAUCCGGGUUUGAUGGGGUUAAAGGGAGCGUAGAUGGGUUGUUAAGUCAGUGGUGAAAGUUUGGGGCUCAACCGUAAAAUUGCAAUGGAUACUGGCAGCCUUGAGUACAGUUGAGGUAGGCGGAAUUCGUGGUGUAGCGGUGAAAUGCUUAGAUAUCACGAAGAACUCCGAUGGCGAAGGCAGCCUACUAAACUGCCACUGACAUUGAUGCUCGAAAGUGUGGGUAUCAAACAGGAUUAGAUACCCCGGUAGUC